rnacentral:rRNA from 1 species
CGCCAGAGAACUACGAGCGAAAAACUUAAAACUCUAAGGACUUGGCGGUGCCCCACACCAACCUAGAGGAGCCUGUCCUAUAAUCGAUACUCCACGCUUAACCCUACCCCCCCUUGAAACUCAGCCUAUAUACCGCCGUCUACAGCCUACCUUAUGAAAGCAACCAAGUUGGCACAAUAGUUAACGACUAGUACGUCAGGUCAAGGUGUAGCACACGGGGUGGCAGAGAUGGGCUACUUUUUCUAGUAUAGAAAAUACGCACAGUGCACUGAAAUGUGUACUUAAAGGUGGAUUUAGCAGUAAGACAAACAAAUAACCCGUCUAAAAUCUGCUCUGGGGCGCGCACACACCGCC